AGCAGCCGCGGUAAUUCCAGCUCCAAUAGCGUAUAUUAAAGUUGUUGCAGUUAAAAGCUCGUAGUUGAAUUUCGGGAUUGGCGCAUCGGUCGUGCCUUACGGGGUAUGAACUGGUGCAGUCAAUUUCUCACCUUCUGGAGAACCGCGAUGUCCUUAAUUGGGUGCCGCGGGGAACCAGGACCUUUACUUUGAAAAAUUAGAGUGUUUAAAGCAGGCAUUUUUGCUUGAAUACACUAGCAUGGAAUAAUAAAAUAGGACGGCAUGGUUCUAUUUUGUUGGUUUCUAGGACCACCGUAAUGAUUAAUAGGGAUAGUUGGGGGCAUUAGUAUUCAAUUGUCAGAGGUGAAAUUCUUGGAUUUAUUGAAGACUAACUACUGCGAAAGCAUUUGCCAAGGAUGUUUUCAUUAAUCAAGAACGAAAGUUAGGGAUCGAAGACGAUCAGAUACCGUCGUAGUCUUAACCAUAAACUAUGCCGACUAGGAAUCAGACGAUGUUAAUUUUUAAUGUACUCGUUUGGCAC
rnacentral:rRNA from 1 species